UGUCUAGGGGGUGGCCAGGGGUGGCACGUGCUACCCCUGGAAUCUGAUUGGCCACCCCAGGUGCCACCCCAUAUGCUAAACUAUGAUUGGCUAUCUGCCCACGGAGGCGGGAACGUUUGAAUUGUGUGACUACCGAACUUUCAUUUUCAACCGACAAGAAGACAUCAAGAAGACAUCAAGAGAUUGCGGCUACUCGCUCCUGAAAGAUGUCUGUCAUCAUCGCGACUGUCGACAGUGUCGACUGACUCAGCUUGCUGCCUAGCAAACCUGUCCAGGGAUUCUUAGCUCCUGAAAGAUACUCAGACAAGGAUACUGGUGAUGAAGGCCCUUCAUCUUCACUUGCACAUCAGGGUGUGUCAAGUCAGCCACUCUCUGACAAUGACACUGACACUGAGAACCAUCCAGCAGUACCUGCAGGCCAUGCAGUGACACGUGGGGAUGGUGAUGCAGCAGCCCUUGUGGCCCCACCUGGACCUCAUGAUAUUUCACAGUCAAGAGCAGCAGGUCCCUCUCAGCCUCGUUUAAAGGUUUUUCCAAGAACCCUCCAAGGUGAGAAGAGGAGGGCGUUCAAUCCAGUGUGGUUUAACCACAAUUCCUGGCUUGAAUACUCACAAAGCAAAGAUUCAGCCUACUGUUACGCAUGCAGACACUUCUCCCUGCCUGGCGCGUCAGAAUCUGUUUUCUCCUCAGAAUCAGGCUUUUCACACUGGGAAAAAGCAACGUACAAAGAUGCUGGCUUUAAGUUGCAUGAGAAAUCUGAGUCUCACAUUAAUGCCAUGUUUGCUUGGAAUGAGCACAAGAGGCUAUUGCUUACAGAUUCUUCUAUCUUAGAUAUGAUUAACAAAGAGUACAAAAGAAAGUUGAAGAGAAUCGCAGUUACAUUAAAACAGUUGCAGAUGUACUGCUUUUGACAGCAACACAGAAUAUAGCACAAAGAGGUCACCGUGAAUCGGAAGAAUAUGACAACAAAGGGAAUUUCUUAGGAAUUCUAGAAAUGAUCGCUAAACACAAUCCUAUGGUAGCCCAAAAAAUGAAGGGACAACGCAAUGCAAAAUACACAAGCAAUACCAUACAGAAUGAAAUUCUGCAGUGCUUAGCAAGUAUGGUGCGUGAUGAGAUUGUGAAGGAAGUGAAGGAGAGUGUGGUAUUCUCUGUCAUUGCUGAUGAAACCAAAGA